rnacentral:tRNA from 1 species
AGCCCCGAUAGCCUUGUGGUUAAGGUGUUCGAUUCACAAUCGUUCACCCCGGAUUCGAGUCCCCGUGGGGCUC